CCAGCCCCGCUCAGAAACUUAAAGGAAUUGACGGGGGCCCGCACAAGCGGAGGAGCAUGUGGUUUAAUUCGAUGAUACGCGAGGAACCUUACCUGGGCUCGAACGUAAGAUGACUGUAGGUGAAAGCUUACAUCUCUUCGGAGCAUUUUACGAGGUGCUGCAUGGUUGUCGUCAGCUCGUGCCGUGAGGUGUCGGGUUAAGUCCCAUAACGAGCGCAACCCCUACUGCUAGUUGCCAGCGGGUCAUGCCGGGGACUCUAGCGGAACUGCCAGCGUAAGCUGCGAGGAAGGUGGGGAUGACGUCAAAUCAGCACGGCCCUUACGUCCAGGGCUACACACGUGUUACAAUGGCCAGUACAGAGGGCAGCCACCCCGCGAGGGGGCGCUAAUCCUAAAAGCUGGUCCCAGUUCGGAUCGGAGUCUGCAACCCGACUCCGUGAAGCUGGAUUCGCUAGUAAUCGCGCAUCAGCCAUGGCGCGGUGAAUACGUUCCCGGGCCUU
rnacentral:rRNA from 1 species